AUUGAACGCUGGCGGCAGGCCUAACACAUGCAAGUCGAACGGUAACAGGAAGCAGCUUGCUGCUUUGCUGACGAGUGGCGGACGGGUGAGUAAUGUCUGGGAAACUGCCCGAUGGAGGGGGAUAACUACUGGAAACGGUAGCUAAUACCGCAUAACGUCGCAAGACCAAAGAGGGGGACCUUAGGGCCUCUUGCCAUCGGAUGUGCCCAGAUGGGAUUAGCUAGUAGGUGGGGUAACGGCUCACCUAGGCGGCGAUCUCUAGCUGGUCUGAGAGGAUGACCAGCCACACUGGAACUGAGACACGGUCCAGACUCCUACGGGAGGCAGCAGUGGGGAAUAUUGCACAAUGGGCGCAAGCCUGAUGCAGCCAUGCCGCGUGUAUGAAGAAGGCCUUCGGGUUGUAAAGUACUUUCAGCGGGGAGGAAGGGAGUAAAGUUAAUACCUUUGCUCAUUGACGUUACCCGCUGAAGAAGCACCGGCUAACUCCGUG
rnacentral:rRNA from 1 species